rnacentral:lncRNA from 1 species
GGAUUACCUUUUCCAGCCUGGAAAUUAGGCAGUCGACUUUGGAGGCGUGAUGUGGUGCCAUCUGCUUGGGGUUGCGAGUACCUGUUCAGUGCCGAGCUUCCUGAGGGGAUCCUGACUUCAGCCUUUGUCUGGAAGGCACUUCCUUCAGGUCCUGGGAAACCCCCUUCCAGCUUAUCGUUCGGAUCUCAACUGCUUACAGCUGCCAAAUGGCAACAUACUCAGACUGAAUGGAUGAUGCUCACUUCUAGCCAUUUCUCCAGCCACAGGAAGUGCCACACUCCAAACUCUGGCCACAGCAUCCUCUACCUGGACGUCAUGUGCCUCCACACGUCACUGACAGGAGCCUUAGUCCUUGGAUCCUUCGUGGAAGACUGCUGCUGUUGCUCACGAUCCUUCAUCGUUCCUUUGUACUCUUUGACACUAGCCAUCUAGAUCAAUCCCAUCAUCUUCCCAGUGAGAAAACUGAGGUCCAUGGUCAGGUGCUGAACCAGGUUUCAAGGCAGAACCACUUCAGUACUUCCUCAGCACCGGCAGUCCAUCAAGAUUCACCCAGGACUUCUUUAUGAAAUCACAGGAUGCCCCAUAGUGUGUUACCUCACUGUGGGAAACAUACUGGCAGUGGCUGCAGGGCAGAAACAGCAGACUUUGGAGCCAGCCAGGCCUGGAGGACAUUGAAACUCUGCUGUGUACAGGAUUUCAGAGCUUUCAGUCUGUGGGCAUUUGUUGCUUUGGGGUCUGUGGCAAAGCAGUAAAUUCAUCUACUAAGGUGCUUACAAUGGGGUGAACUGAGAAAGGUGAAUCUUUUGUGUGUGUGUUUGUGUGUAUGGUACCAGGGAUCGAACUCAGGGCCUUGCGCUUGCCAGGCAGUUGUGGCUCCACUGAGCUACAUCCCUGGCCAAGAAAGUUGAAUCUUUUUUUAUUUGGUACCAGGGAUCGAACUCAGGUCCUUCCACUUUCGAGGCAGGAGUCGGAACCACUGAGCUAAAUCCCCGGCCCCAAGAAAGUUGAAUCUUUACACAUUCCAUUGCCCUCUAGACUGCUCCUUGCAAAAUUUUUAUUUACUGGAGGCUGAACUACUCCCUUAAACUGAAAUAGUGUGAUUUGUAGCCCAGAAUCAGUGCCAUGUACCAUAUCAUACACUCUUGGUUCCUCAACCUGUUGGCUUCUCUGAAAACUGUUAUUAGGUUGCCAAAACUGAUCAUAAAUCCAGCCUCCCUAAAGCAAAAAUAUCUAGUUUAUCUUAUAUAAAAAUAAAACUAUGCUCAGUCUAUUUUAUGCAUUGCAUUAUCUCCUUGUUAAUAAAGUUUUAAAAGUAAGAAUAGGUUUCUGAGAUAUUCCUUUUCAAUAAUGAUUGCAGCCAUAUCAAUUGAGGACAGGAAGGAAAAAAGAAGAGAAACUGUAAUUCAGAAAGAUG